UAUUUAUCUAUUUAUUUUGAUAUAGAGUCUUGCUCUGUUGCCCAGACUGGAGUACAGUGGCAUGAUCUCUGCUCACUGCAACCUUCACCUCACGGGUUCAAGCGAUUCUCCUGCCUCAGCCUCAUGAGUAGCUGGGAUUACAGUGGCAGGAGCAUCCCUGCGAGAGGCCUGACCCAGGUGUGUAGCCCAAGCAGCCAGCCCGGAAAUCCAAUGGGGUGUUCUUGGGGUGCAGAGGAUUUGUGACAGUCCAUACACAGAAAAAGGAAAAGGUGGCUUUGAAGAGGCAAGUGCAAAGAUACCAGAGAUGGGGUAUUGUCAUUUUAGGCAGUGAAUUGACGGUUUCACUUACCAGGGAGCUCCCAUCGUGAGCUCCCAAAAGGCCUAACAACUGCUAGGCCCACGGGUCAUUAGCUCCACCUUUACGGAGAAGCUGCACUAUGCAUGUCAGAAGCGGGGUAGGCAGGGAUGAGGGAAAGGACGGGAUAAGGAAAGAAAAGAUGUGCGCUGAGCUGAGCUGCGGGAGGGUAAACCUAACUACGUAACAAUGAGCAGGCUGUGAGAGGCUCCUUGCCCCUUGCAGAUUUGUGAAAAAUCAAACUUCCGCCCAAGAAGCCGGCAUUUCAGGUAGGGGCGAUGAUGUCACAAUCACAGGUUGAGAUCUGCUGCCCAGGCCAUGCUUGCUCCCCGCAGGCAGGCGAGAUUUCGGAACAGCCAGGACCUCCUCCGCAUGGGGGAACCGCUCUAGACGCUCAGAGGGGCGGAGUUGAAACGGGUGCCAUCGCCACCUGACUGGCCAGUGUCUCAAAGACGUGGAUGGUGACCAGCUCUCUCCAGAACAGAUGGCGCUCCAGCUUUGUGGGAGAAACUUUCAAGAUGGAGUCUUGCUCUGUUGCCCAGGCUGGAAUGCAAUGAUGCAAUCUCAGCUCACUGCAACCUCCAUCUCCCAGAUUCAAGUGGUUCUCCUGCCUCAGCCUCCCAAGUAGUUGGGACUACAGGUGCUGCCUUCAGGAGGGAUUAUGACAUAUGCCUGGACCAAACACCUGGAUGACGUGACACUCCUGCAUGAGCCUUGCCCUAAGGGGAUAUUUUUACAUGUUGGUGAACUCAGCAUCUAGGUGAUGUGACUCUACUCUUCUGCCUGGGCCCUGCCCACAGAGGGCAUUGGAACAUUUCACUUGGCUCAGCACCAAGAAGAUGUUACUCUCCUACCUGGACCUCUCCCACAGGGGACACCUAGAUGAUAUGAUUUUUCUUCCUGGUUCCUGCCCAGACUUCAAAUUGUGAUGUAUAUCUGGGCCCAAAACACAGGUAAGGUAAUAACUCUCAUAGCUAGACCAAGACAAUAGAGAGAUUUUGACUUUUGUAGCUAGGCUUAGAACAAUGGGUACAUAUUCCUGGCCCAGCUCCCAGGUGAUAUGACCCUCCUACCUAGUUAGUGCUCACAGGUGUGAUUGUUACCUAUGUUUGGACUCAGUUCAUUGUGAGCAUUGUGAUCACUCAUACCUGGACCUAGCCACAAAAAAAUAUGUUGACUCUUAUACCUCAAAAUAGGAGACUCAACCCACAAGAGGUGUUGACUCUUACACCUUUUGCUGGAAAAUGUCCAGGAUUGUGAAUUUCUGCUAUUGAUUGGGUCCAGGUAUGAGUUUCAUUGCUGUGCCUGAGCUGAGUUCAAAAUAAGUCACUAUCUCACCUGUGGCUGCAUCUACAUAUGACAGUCACAAUUCCAAGUCUGGAUUGCAUUUGUGUAUGAGACUUAGGACCUCACCAGUAAGCACUGUCUAUGUGUGAGGGUGACAAUUCUAUCAGCUGGAAGUGCAUAUGAGAGUCACAAUGUCACCUUUGUUCUUGGUCCUGUUAUGACAUUGUAUCACUUGAAGGCUUUAUCCAGACCCAGGACCUUGCCUGUUGCCCUAAGCCUAGAUAUCAGAGUCAAAAUCUGUUCUCUUAGCUGGAUCCAGGUAUGAGAGUCAACAUCUCACCAGUGAGCUGUGACCAUGUAUAUGUCACAAUUUCACCUGUGGGCAGGAACCAGACAUGAGAGUCAUAUCACUUGGGUGCUGGGUAAGUGAUACAUUACAAUUCUUACUUUGGGCAGGGUCCAGGCAACAGAGGAGAGACACAUCACCUAUAUGAUUGGCCCAGCGAUGGGUGAAAAUCCUCUCUGAGAGCAGGGCCCAUUCAGGAGAGUCAUAUCACCUAGCUGCUUGGCCAAGUGAAAUAUCACAAUGCACCCUUUGCACAGGGCCAAUACAGGACAGUUACAUCACCAGGGAGCUGGGUCCAGCUAUAUGUCACAAUUCCUUUUGUGGAAAGUGUCCAGGCAGAAAAGCAGAGUCACAUCACCUAGCCAGUGGGCCCAGAGAGAUGCCACAAUGCCAUUUGUAGGCUGGGCCCUGGGAGAAGAAUAACAUCACCCAGUUCUGGGCCCAGCAAUAUGUUGUGAUCCCAACUGGAAAAAGUUUCCAGACAAGAGAGGAGAAUCACAUCAUCAUGAUGAUAAGCCAAGAGAUUUCACAAUCCCCCCCUCUGCACAUGUCCCAGGCAGAAGACCUGAAUUACCUUUUUACUUAGGCCAGUAAUGUCACAGUGCUUCCUCAGGGCAGGGCACAAACAAGAUAGGACAGUCACAUCAUUAAGUGCUAGACUUAAUGCUAGAUAUGUCAUAACCUUACUUGUGGGCAGGAUCCAGGAAGGAGAGAUUUAUGUCACCUAGGUGCUCAGUAAAGAGAUAUAUUACAAUUACAAUUCCUUUGAGGGAAGUGGCCAGGCAAAAUAGUCACAUCACCUAGGUGCUUGGCCCAGGUAUAAGUCACAAGAUAUCUGUGUGUUGAGCCCAGAAGGACUAUCAAAUUACGAAGUUUCUACGUAGAAGUGCAUGUCACAGACACCUGCAGGAAGGCCCAGGAAUGAGACUCCCAAUUCCACACAUUUUCCCACUCCAAGUGUAAGAGUCAACAACUCCUGAGACUUAGGCCCAAGUACAUGAGUCACAAUCUCAACAGUGGAUUGCAUCCUGCCAUGAGAGCCCCAAUCCCUUCUCUAAGCUGUGUUCCAGUAGAGGAGUCACAACAUCAAUGGUGUGCUGAAUCCUGGUUGGAGAGUUCCCACUUCACCUGUGGACUGGAUCUGUAUAUGAGAGUCUCAAUUCCAGCUCUCAACUGCCCCUGGGUGUGAGAUUCAGGACCUCAAUUGUGAGCUGUGUACACAUGGACAUGUAACAAUUUCUACUUUUGGCUGUGUGUUCAUACAAGACUCAAUCUCAUCUGUGUUCUCGGCCCUGUUAUGACACUCUUUGUACCACCCAUGGGAUUUAUUCAAUACGCAUGGGUGUCAUAAUCCUCUGUGAUCUUCAUACAAGUAGAAGACCCAGGACCUUACCCAUGGCCCUAGGCCUAUCUAUGAGAAUUGACAUUUUUCCUCACAUUUUUAAUUUUAACAAAUAAGUUAUUCUCCUGUCAGUUCAGAUUCAUCAGGACAUUGAAUCAUAUUCAGAAGAAUUAAAACUGAAAGACUAAUAGGUUUGUUAAAGCAAUGCAGGUUGUCAUACUAAUAAACCCUAAAAUUUCAAAGGCUUAGCAAAAUAAUACAUUUUCUGCUUACAUCACCAUCCCCUUUGGCUUAUUUCUGGUUAAGAGAACUUCUUUGUGAUUAUUCGGAGAUUAGAUUUUUUUAAAAUUUCCUAUCUGCACUCUCUCUUUCUUCAGCCAAUAGAUGAAAAAAGAUGCAAAGAAGACACAUUUGCUUUUUAUGCACACAUCACUUCCAGUCACUAUGUUGAGCAGAGUCAGUGUGAGGACAAUUGAGAAUAGCAGUUUUCUGGCAGGACAGCCACUUCUCAGCAGAAGAUGACACAAUAAAAGUAUAAAUCUUUCAUGGGAGGCUCACAUAUUUUCAGCAAAUUAAGCAUAUGCAUGAAUAAAAUUCUUGUGGUAAAA
rnacentral:lncRNA from 1 species